AUUGAACGCUGGCGGCAGGCCUAACACAUGCAAGUCGAACGAGUGGCGGACGGGUGAGUAACGUCUGGGAAACUGCCCGAUGGAGGGGGAUAACUACUGGAAACGGUAGCUAAUACCGCAUACACUCGGAUGUGCCCAGAUGGGUUUAGCUAGUAGGUGGGGUAACGGCUCACCUCGGCGCCGAUACCUAGCUGGUCUGAGAGGAUGACCAGCCACACUGUAACUGAGACACGGUCCAGACUCCUACGUGAGGCAGCAGUGGGGAAUAUUGCACAAUGGGCGCAAGCCUGAUGCAGCCAUGCCGCGUGUAUGAAGAAGGCCUUCGGGUUGUAAAGUACUUUCAGCGGGGAGGCGUUACUCGCAGAAGAAGCACCGGCUAACUCCGUGCCAGCAGCCGCGGUAAUAC
rnacentral:rRNA from 1 species